UACGUAGGGGGCAAGCGUUGUCCGGAGUUAUUGGGCGUAAAGAGCGUGUAGGCGGCCCGAUUAGUCCGCUGUGAAAGUCCAGGGCUCAACCCUGGAAUGCCGGUGGAUACUGUCGGGCUAGAGUCCGGAAGGGGCGAGUGGAAUUCCUGGUGUAGCGGUGAAAUGCGCAGAUAUCAGGAGGAACACCAAUGGCGAAGGCAGCUCGCUGGGACGUGACUGACGCUGAGACGCGAAAGCGUGGGGAGCAAACAGG
rnacentral:rRNA from 1 species